rnacentral:rRNA from 1 species
UACGGGGGGGGCAAGCGUUGUUCGGAAUUACUGGGCGUAAAGGGCUCGUAGGUGGCCAACUAAGUCGGACGUGAAAUCCCUCGGCUUAACCGGGGAACUGCGUCCGAUACUGGCGGGCUUGAAUUCGGGAGAGGGAUGUGGAAUUCCAGGUGUAGCGGUGAAAUGCGUAGAUAUCGGGAGGAACAUCAGUGGCGAAGGCGGCUACCUGGCCCAAUACUGACACUCAGGUGCGACAGCGUGGGGAGCAAACAGG